AUGGCACCCAAGGCCGAGAAGAAGCCCAAGGUGGAGAAGCGCGUGCCCGGGAAGGAGGGCGAGACUAGCAAGAAGAAGGCCAAGAAGAGCAACGAGACGUACAAGAUCUACAUCUUCAAGGUGCUCAAGCAGAUUGACCCGAACAUGGGUAUCUCCUCCAAAUCAAUGUCCAUCAUCAACUCCAUCAUCAACGACAUCUUCGAGAAGCUCGCCGGAGAGUCGGCAAAGCUCGCACGCUACAACAAGAAGCCCACCAUCACCUCUCGGGAGAUCCAGACUGCCGAUGCUUUAACUCAGGCCGAGCCCCAGGUGGUCGACUUAAAGACCAGGCUUGAGCAACAAGAAGCUGAAACAUGCGAAGCUGACUCCAAGCUUAAGCUUGGUCUAGAGAAGAGCGAGAAGAUCAGAGCUGGGUUUUCCACAUAA
rnacentral:rRNA from 1 species